ACUUAUUGGAACAGACAAACGGAUAUUCUGAAUUGUGUCUUUUGAAUCAUAUUCACUACUACCAAUUGUAGCAUACUGAUAACUUGACGAUUCACAAUUCUCACAUUGAUUUACAAUAAUUCGAGCAACAUCUGCGAAAACAAUAUAAGCACGUUAUCACACAUCAGGAAAUAAACAAAUUGUUGAAUCAGCGGAAUACAAGCUCGGACGGAGAUAUGAAGUGUAUAGAAAUUCAUAUAGGAGCAAGUGAGUUGAAGGUCAAUCACAUGCUACUAUUUAACAGGAACGUAUUUUAAAUAUUCUUUUAAAAACAACGGCGAUGGGAAAUUUUUUAUGAAUAAUGUAAUACUUUUUGUACUAAUGCAAAAAAGUAUCAUUUCACGCUGCAAUUGUACAUAUUGAAUAUAAUUUUAGUUAUUAGAAUGUUCAGAAAUUGAUAUAAAAUGGUUUUGUACUAUUAAACAAUUUCAAAAGUAA